CAAGUGUGACAUCAGCGGUCAUGGAGAGUCUCCAUCCAGCUGGAUCACUGUCACAGACAAACACACCACCACACCUCCACCUACAUCCACUCCUCCACCUGGAUCUAACUCUCCUCCUGGUUCCACCUCCAUCAUUCUUCCUCCGUCACUCUCUCCUCCUCUUCUCUCUGUGUUUUCAUUUGUUGUAUCAGUCUGUGUUGUGGUUCUACUGGUGUUACUGGUUCUGCUGGUGAGACGAUGUGUUCACAGGAAACCUGAAGCAGAUCAACAAGCUGGAGAAGAUGACAUCAUCACACGCGUCAUGUACUAUGCUGUCAAAAUACAAAGUAGAGCUGCAGUCCAUUCAGCAGUGAGAACUUACCAACCAGAAACCAUCUGAACAAAGAAGGCCCAGACUUUAAACCAGAGCCAGACGUCGUCUACUCUUCACUGAAGUAGUCCACCAGUCCAACCACUGACGUUCAGCUGCUGGUCUCUAACUGGUCCCCCCAGCACCUCAGUCUUUUGAACAUCCACAUGUUCAAAAGACUUUCUGUGUAUUUUAUGUGUUUCUUUGGCUUAUUUAGACUCACAUACUUUAAAAAAAAUCAUAUAAUCUUAAUUGAUAUAAGUGGCUAAAAUCAGUAAUGAUAAUAAAAAGUAUGCUAAUAUGUUUAAUGCUUACAAUAAGGUCACCUUGCUUUUGUAAUGCUGGUAGUGGUCUCGUUUGUUUGCAUCAUUAAUAAAUACACU